rnacentral:rRNA from 1 species
UACAGAGGUCCCAAGCGUUGUUCGGAUUCACUGGGCGUAAAGGGUGCGUAGGUGGCCGGGUAAGUCUGACGUGAAAUCUCCAAGCUUAACUUGGAAACUGCGUCGGAUACUAUCCGGCUAGAGGAUCGGAGGGGAGACUGGAAUACUUGGUGUAGCAGUGAAAUGCGUAGAUAUCAAGUGGAACACCAGUGGCGAAGGCGGCUUUCUGGUCUGUAACUGACGCUGAGGCGCGAAAGCGUGGGGAGCAAACAGG